UUAACCUCAUGACAUAACCUUACACUAUAACCUCACAGCUUAACUUUACAGUUUAACUUUGUAGCGUAAGCUCAUGACAUAACUUUACAAUAUAAUCUCACAGCUUAGCUUUACAGUUUAACUUCAUAACUUAACUUCAUGAAAUAACCUUACAAUAUAACCUCACAGCUUAACCUUAGAGUUUAACCUCAUAGUUUAACCUCACAUUUUAAACUUACAGUUUUUCUUCACAGCAUAACCUCACUUUUUAAUCUGAUAGCUUAACCUCAUGACAAACCGUAGAACAUAAUCUCACAUCUUAACCGCACAGCUUAACCUCAGAGCGUAACAUCCUAGCUUAACCCCAAAUAGCCUCAGAGCUCAAUGGUGAGAAUAAACAAGUAAUUGUCGCAUGAUUGGAAUACUUAACCCUCGUCCUUGGUCAAGUGUUAGUUGUGCGGGCACCAGAAGGAGCGCCAUGGUGUGACCGUGUGUGUAUAGUGAGCAGUGCAAAGCUGGCUCCCGUACGUCUGGGGAGUCGUAAUAACCUGUGCCUUAAGGCGAGGUGAUGCGACGUAAGGACAGAGGAUAGGGGACAGUUGCACCGCCAUACUGUUGUGACAAGUGUCAAGUCUCCAGCUAGCUCAACACACUGAGUUAAAGGCUGUGGCUUGGUGCUGUCGGGCGAGGGGUCAUCUAUCAGCACACCAACAGUAAACCUACACUCCCCUACUACUACUACCACACACACACGAACAUUACUCACCCACACACUACAUAGAC